rnacentral:lncRNA from 11 species
GUUUUCUUGUUUUUCUGUCCAAAUUGUCCAGUUCCGCCUGUGUCCAGUUUAUGAUGCCUGCAGUAUAUCUUAUGACAGGUAUGGACCAGGUGUUUAUGGCCUUGAUGGUGUUGCCUCCAUUGAGCUUGCUUUGGAGAAUUUUUCUGACCCUUUGUGUGUAUUCCUUGCUGACCACAGUCUUCACAUGUUCAUGCUUGAUGUUGUCCAGCUGUAAUAUGCCCAGAUAUUUAUAGGUCUCUGGCUGGUGACACUUUAUUGUUUGGCCAUUGGGCAUAUUUAUGCCCUCACUUUCAAUGAUUUUUCCCUUCUUCGAUGCCACUGUCGAACAUUUGUCCAAACCAAACUCCAUGCUGAUAUCAGUGCUGAAAAUUCGGACAGUGUUGGUCAGAGACUGGAUUUCAGUUUCCGUUUUCCCAUACAGCUUCAGGUCAUCCAUGUACAUCAGAUGCGAAAUUUUGUGAGAAUUCUUAGAUGUUAUUUCAGUUUCCGUUUUCCCAUACAGCUUCAGGCCAUCCAUGUACAUCAGAUGUGAAAUUUUGUGAGAUUUCUUAGAUGUUAUUUCAGUUUGCGUUUUCCCAUACAGCUUCAGGUCAUCCAUGUACAUCAGAUGCCAAAUUUUGUGAGAUUUCUUAGAUGUUAUUUCAGUUUCCGUUUUCCCAUACAGCUUCAGGUCAUCCAUGUACAUCAGAUGUGAAAUUUUGUGAGAUUUCUUAGAUGUUAUUUCAGUUUCCGUUUUCCCGUACAGCUUCAGGUCAUCCAUGUACAUCAGAUGCCAAAUUUUGUGAGAUUUCUUAGAUGUUUGAUAGCCGAGAUUUGUUUUUUGUGAGAUUGUUGACAGAGGGAUCAUGGCAAUAAUGAAAAGCAGAGGGGACAAUGAGUCUCCCUGGAAAAUUCCUCUCCUGAUGUUGACAAGUCCAUAACUUUCAUUUCCAACAAACAUCAUCAUCAUCAUCAUCAUCAUCAUCAUCAGGUUACUGCUGAUACCAUUCAUACCGUUCAUACCUCCUUCCUCUCGUCCUUCUCUCCAGGGGCUACUUGGUGGCCGUGCCCUCCGUCUUCCGCUCGGGCGUGGAAGAGUCUGUCAGCGUGACCAUUUUCAACCCCGUCGCGGAGACUCCCGUCCAGAUCCAGCUGGUCAUCAAGGGGGAGGCGGUGGCGCGAGGCCACGGAACGGUUCUGGGUAAAGGAAUCGUCAAGCUGAAGGUAAGCGGAGCCAUCGCAACAGACUGUUUCGGGGUUGCAGAACGGGGGGAACAGAAGGCCAUGGGGCAAGAUGUGCAAGAUGUGAAUGGUUGGUGCUCCUUAGACACAAUCUUGAUUCUAGUGGGGUUUUUUCAAUAUUUUUUCAUUUUCAUGAUUUUUUCCCCUUUCUGUUGAAAUUCCCCCAGUAGUUGU